CGUCACACUAUCAUUACGUGAAUACAUAGCGUAAUGAAGCGAACCGGGGGAACUGAAACAUCUAAGUACCCCGAGGAAAAGAAAUCAACCGAGAUUCCCCCAGUAGCGGCGAGCGAACGGGGAGCAGCCCAGAGUCUGAAUCAGCUUGUGUGUUAGUGGAACGGUCUGGAAAGUCCGACGGUACAGGGUGAUAGUCCCGUACACCAAAAUGCACAGGUUGUGAACUCGAAGAGUAGGGCGGGACACGUGGUAUCCUGUCUGAAUAUGGGGGGACCAUCCUCCAAGGCUAAAUACUCCUGACUGACCGAUAGUGAACCAGUACCGUGAGGGAAAGGCGAAAAGAACCCCGGCGAGGGGAGUGAAAAAGAACCUGAAACCGUGUACGUACAAGCAGUGGGAGCCU
rnacentral:rRNA from 1 species